rnacentral:rRNA from 1 species
CAAUCGAACCCGGAGAUAGCUGGUUCUCCUCGAAAUAGCUUUAGGGCUAGCCUCGCAUUAGUUUACCGGAGGUAGAGCACUGAAUGGUCUAGGGGGCCUCACCGCCUACCGAAACCUAUCAAACUGCGAAUGCCGGAUAAAUGAUGUGCGGGAGUCAGGCCGCGAGAGAUAAGUUCCGCGGUCAAAAGGGGAACACCCCAGAUCGUCUGCUAAGGUCCCCAAGUACGCGUUAAGUGGGAAAGGAUGUUGGAUUGCACAGACAACCAGGAUGUUGGCUUAGAAGCAGCCACACAUUCAAAGAGUGCGUAAUAGCUCACUGGUCGAGUGAUCCAGCGCCGAAAAUGUAACGGGGCUAAAACGCGACACCGAAGCAGCGGGAUGCGUAAGCAUCGGUAGAGGAGCAUUGUGUGAGGAUAGAAGCCAGAGCGGGAGCACUGGUGGACUUCACAGAAGAGAGAAUGCCGGUAUGAGUAGCGAGACCCAUGCGAGAAACAUGGGCGUCGAAGGCCCAAGGUUUCCUGGGGAAGGUUCAUCCACCCAGGGUAAGUCGGGACCUAAGCCGAGGACUGAGGUCGUAGGCGAUGGACAGCAGGUAGAGAUUCCUGCACCACUUACACUUGUUUGACGAAGCAGUGACACAGAAGGAUAGGACGAGCGCGGUGAUGGUCAACCGCGUAGGCGGCACGAGGCUGAGAAGCAGUAAAGUACACUUCUCAUGAAGGCUGAGUGCUGACAGGACCGAAAAAGAGUAGGGAAGCGUCUGAGUUCACGCUGGCGAGAAAAGCUGCUAAGGAGAGUGUGAGUGCCCGUACCGGAAACCGACGCAGGUGGGCGAGGAGAGAAUCCUGAGACGAACGGGAGAACCCUUGUUAAGGAACUCGGCAAAAUGACCCCGUAACUUCGGGAGAAGGGGUGCCUCGAAAGAGGCCGCAGAGAAUAGUCACAAGCGACUGUUUAGCAAAAACACAGGUAUCUGCGAAAGCGAGAGCUGACGUAUAGGUGCUGACGCCUGCCCGGUGCUGGAAGGUUAAGGGGAAGUGUUAGGGGAAACCCGAAGCAGAGAACCGAAGCCCCAGUAAACGGCGGCCGUAACUAUAACGGUCCUAAGGUAGCGAAAUUCCUUGUCGGGUAAGUUCCGACCCGCACGAAUGGUGUAACGACUUGUGAGCUGUCUCAACAGGGGGCCCGGUGAAAUUGAAGUAUGGGUGAAGAUGCCCAUUACCCGCGACUGGACGGAAAGACCCCGUAGAGCUUUACUGUAGCCUGAUAUUGGAUUUCGGUAACGGAUGUACAGGAUAGGUGGGAGGCUAGGAAACCAGGACGUCAGUCUUGGCGGAGCCGGCGGUGGGAUACCACUCUUUUGUUACUGAAACUCUAACAUGGACCCGUGAAACCGGGUAAUGGACAGUGUCAGGUGGACAGUUUGACUGGGGCGGUCGCCUCCGAAAGAGUAACGGAGGCGCCCAAAGGUACCCUCAGAAUGGAUGGAAACCAUUCGCAGAGUGCAAAGGCAGAAGGGUGCCUGACUGCGAGAGUGACAAUUCGAGCAGAGACGAAAGUCGGGCUUAAUGAUCCGGCGGUAUUGAGUGGAAAAGCCGUCGCUUAACGGAUAAAAGCUACCUCGGGGAUAACAGGCUGAUCUCCCCCAAGAGUCCACAUCGACGGGGAGGUUUGGCAC